rnacentral:sRNA from 1 species
UAUCAGGAGAUCUUCAGGGCAGCCUUUGACCUUGGCAACCAGACAACGGCAAAUGCUGAAAUGACCGAGCCUGUAGUAGGCUUGUGGCAAAACACGAAAUAAGAUCUACCAACCUCCAACCCUCUCCCACCUUCCCAGACAUAAUCAGUGGCACCAAGAAGAGGGACGAAAAUCUUUGAAACCAGGAGCCACGAUAAAAUUUGAUUCAGCAAGAAAAACAACGCAUGUUCCCAGAAAUGUAGCAUAUGCUGAGUUUUUUUUAUAAUGCCAACGUGUGAUUGCUACAGGUUUCCACAGAACACUGGGGAAGUCAACCAAGGCAAAGUGAGUUUCCUCCUUAGACCUCCUGUCUUACUGGAAUUGCUUUGGUAUGGAAAGAGGCAACAGGCAUGCUAUGCGGCCAGGGUAAAAGUAGGAGCGCUCAGGUGUUUCCUCACCAGCCGGGGAUGAUUUGGAGCUUGGAGAGAGUCUGCCUCAGCCUCGGGAAUGCUGAGAUUAUUAACACGUGCCAUAUGCCCAGCCAAGACCUAUUUCUCAGGACUACUGUAGGAAUUGAUUCUAAACAGCAAGGAAAGAGGAAGAUGGUUGGCCUUGAAAAGGAGACCCUUGGAACUGUGUUUCGAUACUCUUAAGAGUGUGUGUUCGUGAGAUGCAAGAAUUCACGCAAAGCAGCCUCCAAACACUGACUGGAUCUCACUAAAAAAAUAAAAUUUCUGCAUCCUCUUUUCUC